UUGGGGGAGGGCUCCGGGUCCCCCCCCUUUCCCUGAGGGGCAUUUUUGGGGGGCUUCAGAUCCCCCCCCCUCCUUGGGGGGCAUUUUUGGGUAACUGCAGCCCCCCCCUAUAGAUGGCACUGCCCCAUUCGGAGCCCCCCCCGCACCCCCACCCCCCCCGGCGCCGCUUUUCCCUUUGGGUUUUCCAGUUGUGCCUUAACCGGGGAGCAGCGCUCAGUGGGACACCAAUGGGACCCCCCGUGUGACACCGAGGGGACACCAAUGGGACCCCAAUGGGACACCGGGACCCCCAGUGUGACACCAAUGGGACCCCAGUGAGACCCCCUGUGUGACACCAAGGGGACACCAAUGGGACACCAACGGGACCCCAGUGAGACCCCCAGUGUGACACCAAUGGGACCCCAAUGGGACCCCCCGUGUGACUCCAAUGGGACACCAACGGGACACCAAUGGGACACCGGGACCCCCAGUGUGACACCAAUGGGACCCCAGUGAGACCCCCAGUGGGACACCGAGGGGACCCCAAUGGGACCCCAGUGUGACUCCAAGGGGACACCAAUGGUUCCCCCAGUGUGACACCGAGGAGACACCAAUGGAACACCAAGAAGACACCAAUGGGACCCCCAGUGUGACACCAGUGGGACACCAAUGGGACACCAAUGGGACACCAAUGGGACACUGGGACCCAAAGUGUGACACCGAGAGGACCCCCAGUGUGACACCAAUGGGACACCAAUGGGACACUGAGGGGACACCAAUGGGACCCACAGCGCCCCAAUGUGACACUGAGGGGACAGUGGGACCCCCAGCACUUUGAGGUGACCCCAAAGGGACCCCCAAUGUGACACUGAGGGGACACCAAUGGGACCCACUGUGCCCCAAUGUGACACUGGGGGAGCAGUGGGACCCCCGGCACUCUGAUGUGACCCCGAGGGGACCCCCAGUGUGACACUGAGGGGACCCACUGUGCCUCAAUGUGACCCCGAGGGGACCCCCAAUGUGACACUGUGGGGACAGUGGGACCCCCCAGCAGUUCGCGGUGACCCCGAGGGGACCCCCAAUGUGACACUGAGGGGACAGCGGGACCCACAGCGCCCCAAUGUGACACUGGGGGGACAGUGGGACCCCCACCACUCUGAUGUGACACUGAGGGGACCCCCAGUGUGACACUGAGGGGACAGUGGGACCCCCCACCACUUCGAGGUGACCCGGAGGGGACCCCCACCACUCUGAUGUGACCCCGAGGGGACCCCCGAUGUGACACUGAGGGGACAGUGGGACCCCCAGCACUCUGAUGUGACCCCGAGUGGCCCCACACGGCUCCAUGGGACCCCACUGUGGGGCAGUGGUGGUUAUGCGGGGGGGUCGGGGGCUGCUGCCCCCCCCCACAGCCGCCCCCUGCAGAGCUGUCCCCCCCCCC
rnacentral:lncRNA from 1 species